rnacentral:rRNA from 1 species
AUUGAACGCUGGCGGCAUGCCUUACACAUGCAAGUCGAACGGCAGCACGGGAGCAAUCCUGGUGGCGAGUGGCGAACGGGUGAGUAAUGUAUCGGAACGUACCAUUGAGUGGGGGAUAACGUAGCGAAAGUUACGCUAAUACCGCAUAUACCCUGAGGGGGAAAGCAGGGGAUCGCAAGACCUUGUGCUCUUUGAGCGGCCGAUAUCAGAUUAGCUAGUUGGUGAGGUAAAGGCUCACCAAGGCGACGAUCUGUAGCGGGUCUGAGAGGAUGAUCCGCCACACUGGAACUGAGACACGGUCCAGACUCCGACGGGAGGCAGCAGUGGGGAAUUUUGGACAAUGGGGGCAACCCUGAUCCAGCCAUGCCGCGUGAGUGAAGAAGGCCUUCGGGUUGUAAAGCUCUUUCGGCCGGGAGGAAAUCGCAUCAGUUAAUACCUGGUGUGGAUGACAGUACCGGAAUAAGAAGCACCGGCUAACUACGUGCCAGCCGCCGCAGUAA